GGCAGAAUAGCUCAGUUGGUAAGAGCACUGGUAGCACAAUUACCUAGAGGUCCCCGGUUCGAUUCCGGGUUCAGCCA